AUUGAACGCUGGCGGCAUGCUUUACACAUGCAAGGCGAACGGUAACAGGGUGCUUGCACCGCUGACGAGUGGCGAACGGGUGAGUAAUACAUCGGAAUGUACCCAGUAAUGGGGGAUAACGCUUCGAAAGGAGUGCUAAUACCGCAUACGCCCUGAGGGGGAAAGUGGGGGACCGCAAGGCCUCACGUUAUUGGAGCAGCCGAUGGCUGAUUAGCUAGUUGGUGAGGUAAAGGCUCACCAAGGCAACGAUCAGUAGCGGUUCUUAGGGGACGAUCCGCCGCACGGAAACUGAGACACGGUCCAGACCCCUACGGGAGGCAGCAGGGGGGAAUCUGGGACAAUGUGCGAAAGCCUGCUCCAGCAAGGCCGCGUGCUUGAAGAAGGCCUUCGGGUUGUAAAGCGCUUUUGUCUGGGAACAAAUCCUGGCCUCUAAUACAGGUCGGGGAUGAGAGUACCAGAAGAAUAAGGACCGGCUAACUACGUGCCAGCCGCCGCCGUAACAC
rnacentral:rRNA from 1 species